GCAGUCAUGGCCGAGUGGUUAAUGCAAUGGACUAGAAAUCCAUUUGGGUCUCUUCGCACAAGUUAGAAUCCUGUCAACUGCG
rfam:Ixodes scapularis strain Wikel colony gcontig_1108378368086, whole genome shotgun sequence.